rnacentral:rRNA from 1 species
CAUGAAGCUGGAAUCGCUAGUAAUCGCAGAUCAGAAUGCUGCGGUGAAUACGUUCCCGGGUCUUGUACACACCGCCCGUCACACCAUGGGAGUCGGAAAUGCCCGAAGUCGGUGACCCAACCGUUUAUGGAGGGAGCUGCCGAAGGCAGGUCUGGUGACUGGGGUGAAGUCGUAACAAGGUAAC